ACGCAGUGCGGAGGCGGACACUGGAAGAAAAACCAAACCCCGCAGUCUAGCAUAGAGUGUCGAACAAACCAGAAGGCGGGGAGAUCGCCGGGAACUGUCCGAUGACCGGCGGUAGCAGAGGCACCACCCGGCGUCAAUCCGCCGCCUCCAGCAGCUGCGGCGACCCCUUCUCCUCUUCCCCAGAUCCGGAAACGAUCCGGAUGGCGACCAUGCCCCGCUGCGCCUCAUGGCCGGGAGCGCCAGAACCCCCUCCUCCUAUGAAUCGAUUCGUUCACCCUCCUGUCCGUCACCUUCCUCGCGUAUACCGGCAGGUGGUUGCAGACGGAGUCGUAGGCCGCCGCGGCGCUGCGCAGGAUGGCGCUCCUUCACGCCGCUUGAUGCGCCCCGGAUGAUGGAUCUGCCUCAGGUGAGGAUCGUUUGUUCGUGGCGUCAUUUCUGUCGACCCCUUCUUUGCUUUGCUCUAGAAUGCGACAUCUCAAUUGGUCAUAUAGGUGUUACUACUAUUAUUUGUACUCCAGUUGAACAUUUCUGCUCUAUGUCUGAAUAUUUGGUUAAGAUGAACUGGGGCUGAACAUUUGGUACAGUACAAUGGAACGAGGAUUCUAACGUGUUGUAUGCACUCUACUUCUGCACAACGUGAUUUGCAAGGCGAUCACAAAGAAAGCCUGUAUUGGGGGACUUGCAGGCCAAUUGUAUAUCUCAGAAUUCGUGCUAGGCACUUAACUAUGUUGAUCCUUUUCUCUUUCCGCUUAUGACAUGAUAGUUGGAAUUAUUCUGAUCUCUUUCUCAUGGCUUUCUGUUGGGUUUCAUCUCUAGCCAACCCCAACUUGCUUGGGACAAAAGGACCGAAGACAUUCGUAUUGCUAGCAGCAUUAGUUUUUAUGCAAAGUGGGAAGCUUUAAUCUGCCGGACAUGAUUGAAGACUCUUCAAACAUAAUGAUCUAUCUGGUACUUUAAAGGUUUCAACAAGAACUUCCUGGCAAAAUAGACAUAGUGUUCUUGUCAGGGGCUGGCUCAAAAACUCCAAUGGUUGCAGCAUUAGCAGUCUAACAGUGCACAUUCUGAACAUUUUGAAGGAAGUCACACAAGCACUUGACUGUCUUGCUUCCUCGUAUCAGAUAUGAUAUCAGUUUUACUUGCAUCUUGUCCUUAUGUUGAACCUGAACUUCUGGAGUUUUGAAGACACGAUAUGUUCGUUUUGUUUGUUAAUUGUUAUAUCGAUGAUGAUGUCAGAUUUGUCAGCUCCCAUUCUGAGCACCUGGAUUGAAUCAAAAGAGAAGGAUUUUGAAGAGAGAUACGAUCAAAUGUUCAACAUAAAUAAUAAGCAACACCUUCAAGAAGGAAUAACGUCCUCACGUUAUCAUUGCCACAUCUGGCCAAAGACGAUCUAGAGGAGGAUUUUCAUCCCGGUUGCCGAGACCAGCCAAUGAAGACCAGUACAACAACAAUUUGGUCCGGUUUGCAGAUGAUGCGGCAGCGCCUGUUGCACUUGCUCAAAAGAGUGGUGGAGCGGACACUCUGCCGGAAGAAAAGAUAUCCUGAUGCUGGACAAAUGCAUCCAAGGCGAGGGAAUGUCCCCGGCCCGGCUUGGCUCGGCUCAGCUUGAAGAAGAGAAAAACUGUGCUGGUGCUGGGAUUUGGAAGAUGGCGCUCUAGCUAUUGAUCUGAUCAGGAUUCAGGAGUAUAGUCCUGAUAGCUGAAGUCUGUAGUGGAGACUGGCGCAGGGUACAAAGUUGUAGUAAUACUCUUUUGAAGCUUUCCCCCCCAAAAUUUUGACGCAUACAGAGUUGUACUUCCUCCGUCCCAUAAUAUGUACUAGUGUAAUAACAUCUUAUAUUAUGGGACGAAGAAAGUAAUAAUUGUUAGUAAUAUGUACUAGUGUGUUAAGAACACAGGGACGAUGCACAAGAACAAUGCCUGCCAAAGAACUUUGUGAGACUGAA